rfam:Triticum aestivum genome assembly, contig: Triticum_aestivum_CS42_TGACv1_scaffold_158668_2DL
GAAAUACUCCCUCCGUCCGAAAAUACUUGUCAUUAAAAUAAAUAGAAGGGAACGUAUUUAGAUGUAUUUUAGUUCUAGAUACACCCCUUUUUGUUCAUUUUGAUGACAAGUAUUUUCGGACGGAGGGAGUAGUAU